rnacentral:rRNA from 1 species
GUGCUCCCCCGCCAAUUCCUUUAAGUUACAGCCUUGCGACCGUACUUCCCAGGCGGCACGUUUCACGAUUUCUCUUCGGCACCUCGGUGACUCGUGGUCACCGAUACACCUAACGCGCAUCGUUUACAGCUGGGACUACCCGGGUAUCUAAUCCGGUUUGCUCCCCCAGCUUUCGUCCCUCACUGUCGGAGCCGUUCUGGUGAGACGCCUUCGCCACAGGUGGUCCCCCAAGGAUUACAGGAUUUCACUCCUACCCCUGGAGUACCUCUCACCUCUCCCGGUCCCUAGUCUGCCAGUAUCCCUGAGACGCCUUCCGGUUAAGCCGGAAGAUUUCCCCAGAGACUUAACAAACCAGCUACGAACGCUUUAAGCCCAGUAAUAGUGGCCACCACUCGAGCCGCCGGUAUUACCGCGGCGGCUGGCACCGGUCUUGCCCGGCCCUUUCUUCACCGGUUAUUUAAACCGAUGGACAGCCCGAUUUUACGGGCACUCAGAGUUCCCUUGUCACGGUUUCCCGCAUUGCAAAGUUUUCGCGCCUGCUGCGCCCCGUAGGGCCUGGAUUCGUGUCUCAGAAUCCAUCUCCGGGCUCUUGCUCCCACAACCCGUACCGAUUACAGGCUUGUUGGGCCGUUACCCCAACAACAACCUAAUCGGCCGCAGACCCAUCCUACGGCGGCGGACCUUUCGGCUACAGAGCAUUCCAGCAUCCAUAGUCUAUGGGGUAUUAUCCCCAGUUUCCCGGGGUUAUCCCCCUCCGUAGGGUAGGUUGUCCACGUGUUACUGAGCCGU